GUAGUUCUGUUAAGGCAAGAGUGUA
rnacentral:piRNA from 1 species